rnacentral:rRNA from 1 species
CACGUAGGGCGCGAGCGUUGUCCGGAAUUAUUGGGCGUAAAGAGCUCGUAGGCGGUCUGUUGCGUCCGCUGUGAAAACUCGGGGCUUAACCCCGAGCCUGCAGUGGAUACGGGCAGACUAGAGGUAGGUAGGGGGAGAAUGGAAUUCCCGGUGUAGCGGUGAAAUGCGCAGAUAUCAGGAGGAACACCGGUGGCGAAGGCGGGUCUCUGGGCCGUAACUGACGCUGAGGCGCGAAAGCUAGGGGAGCAAACAGG